rnacentral:rRNA from 1 species
UACGUAGGUGCGAGCGUUGUCCGGAAUUAUUGGGCGUAAAGAGCUCGUAGGCGGUUUGUCACGUCUGCUGUGAAAUCCCGAGGCUCAACCUCGGGCCUGCAGUGGGUACGGGCAGACUGGAGUGCGGUAGGGGAGAAUGGAAUUCCUGGUGUAGCGGUGGAAUGCGCAGAUAUCAGGAGGAACACCGAUGGCGAAGGCGGGUCUCUGGGCCGAUAUUGACGCUGAGGAGCGAAAGCGUGGGGAGCGAACAGG